rnacentral:lncRNA from 1 species
ACUGGUGGAGCCCUUCUGUUGUCGAAAUUCGUCUGAGAUCCAUCCACUGUAGGAGCUCGGCUAAAAUCUGAUUCUCGUAGGAGCUCGGAUGAAAUUCGAAAGGUGGUCGACCAUCAUAGAAACUUGGAUGGAGUCUGGUUACUAUAGAAAUUCCACUGUCGGAGAAGCUCGGACAUUGACGAAGUCCGAAAGAAGUUCGGA